UACGUAGGGGGCAAGCGUUAUCCGGAUUUACUGGGUGUAAAGGGAGCGUAGACGGCUAGACAAGUCUGGAGUGAAAGCCCGGGGCUCAACCCCGGGACUGCUUUGGAAACUGUCAAGCUAGAGUGCAGGAGAGGUAAGUGGAAUUCCUAGUGUAGCGGUGAAAUGCGUAGAUAUUAGGAGGAACACCAGUGGCGAAGGCGACUUACUGGACUGUAACUGACGUUGAGGCUCGAAAGCGUGGGGAGCAAAC
rnacentral:rRNA from 1 species